AACUCAACGGGAUCGACCGCGCGGGUCACCACCAGAUAGUCGCGCAGCGCGGUGCUGUGCCUGUUCUC
rnacentral:sRNA from 1 species